rnacentral:misc_RNA from 1 species
GUAGGUGAACCUGCGGAAGGAUCAUUAACACGUUAUUAAAAACAACGUAUUAAACCAAACGAGAAUUAAGUACUUGCCCUGUGCGGAAUGAGGAAGUGAAGCGUGAGGAAUGGUGUGCGAGGGUAAAACCGAGCUGUCUCUCGUUUCAUGUGAUGGCAAGGCGUGAAUAACGCACUUCGACAUCAUGCCUUCCUUCCCGCAUAGUAGAAUCAAUACCAUUUGCUUAUUAAGCCUGCACCUUGGCUUGCUUCUGGUGUGCCCAACCUUAUUAACCCAUUUAAUUUAACUACUGAUUUGUACGUUUAUUUUUAUUCCUGUUUAACUACAGUUGAGUUCAUUUAAAUGUCGUAUAUACUAAUACGAAACAACUCUUAGCAACGGAUAUCUUGGUUCUC